rnacentral:antisense_RNA from 17 species
AAUUAUGGUGGCUCAGAUGGGGCCAACUUCGGUUGGGCCGGUUUCUUCUUGUACCGGUGUUGAGAACCCUGUCUGGGCUACCACCCCU